UACAGAGGGGGCAAGCGUUGUUCGGAAUUACUGGGCGUAAAGGGCGCGUAGGCGGCCCGCUAAGUCGAACGUGAAAUCCCCGGGCUCAACCCGGGAACUGCGUCCGAUACUGGUGGGCUCGAAUCCGGGAGAGGGAUGUGGAAUUCCAGGUGUAGCGGUGGAAUGCGUAGAGAUCCGGAAGAACAUCGGUGGCGAAAGCGCUCUACUGGACGGUGUCUGACACUCAGGGACGAAAGCUAGGGGAGCGAAUGGG
rnacentral:rRNA from 1 species